AAAGGAGUGUCUAUUGCAUUGUAGAAUAAGCAUGUAAGCGUGAUAUACAUGAGGUAUGGUGAAUAUUUGUGUUGGAAUCAACUUAUUUACUAUUAUGAAGUUUGAACUCCCUUAUUUCAUUUAUGUGUUUGAUGCUAGCAGAGUCAACUCCUGCAUCGUGGACCUGCUUUCAUAUGGAUCAUGUAUGCAUGUAUGAAAAGCACACUGGAGAUGAUCUCAAUCUACAAUAUACUUGUUUAAAGAGAUUGUCCUGCUUUGCUUAGAUGUAUCAGUUUAUUUGAUACUGCUCUGACUGCUUUGCGUAGAUGUGCCUGCUCUGAAAGAGAUUGUCGUGCUAGCUCACUAACAUCUAAGUAUCAACCUAUUCUAGCAGAGAAAAGAACCAGUUGAAAGAGCUCUUCAUAAAUAAAGCUUUCAUGUCAAUUGUGUCAAAGCUCUUCAAUGCUGUAUGUUGAACAUGUAUUUUCUGGUUUUCCUAGCUUGUCAUGCUGUGUCGAUGCAUUCCAUUGCCAUCAUAGUGGAGUUGCUUUGCUAUUUUUACAGUCAACUCAAGAAAGCAAGGCAUCAGUUUACUCUGUUUGAUAUGGAAACCUAUUGCUGUUUAAUGGGGACCUGUUUGGAAAAAGAUAGGGGAUCUUGAGGUUAUGUAGUUGAUCUCAUGCAAGGUUCUGGUGCUUUGUGAUUGCUAGGUAACAAAAUGAUGAUUGAGGAGACAAAGCGUAGCAUCCAUGAUGCAUUGUGUGUGGCAAGGAAUCUCAUUCGCAACAAUUCUAUUGUAUAUGGUGGUGGCUCAUCUGAGAUUUCCUGCUCAAUUUCUGUGGAGGCCGCAGCAGAUAGAUAUCCAGGAGUUGAGCAGGUAUCAGGGCAUUUACUGAUGGAUUUUUUUCUUUUCUUUUCUUUUUUGCUUGAUUGAUACCAAUGACUUUUAUUUUCUUUUCCUGCAGUAUGCUAUCAGGGCAUUUGCAGAUGCUUUAGAUUCCGUCCCUAUGUCGCUUGCAGAAAAUAGUGGCCUCCAACCCAUUGAGACAUUAUCUGCUGUGAAAUCUCAACAAAUUAAGGUAAAUAUGAUAUGGCCACCUUCAGUGCCUCACACAUAUCUAGCUCCACUUUGUGUAAUUGCACAGUCCACCAUCAUGGUUGUGAUUUUCAUUUUAAAAUUGAUUAUGCAGGAGAACAAUCCUUACUGUGGAAUAGAUUGCAAUGAUGCUGGUACAAAUGACAUGCGAGAGCAAAAUGUAUUUGAGACUCUUAUCGGAAAGCAGCAGCAGAUUUUGCUAGCAACACAAGUUGUCAAAAUGAUUCUAAAAAUCGACGAUGUCAUCUCCCCUUCUGAUUUCUGAUCUUUGAAGUUCUGUUACAUCACACUGCUUAGCCAUCAACCGAGGCCAUAUUGUUUUGAUGGCCUGAUGUGGCAUAUUGAGCCGCAUGGAGACACUCUCAGUUCACGAGAGUUUGUUUUGGUUACAGAUCUAUCAUUGGAUUUUAGUCGGGGCUUUUCUUGUGUCUGAACUGGUUGAUUUUGUCGCUUGUUUUCUUUGAUUACUGAUAUUACUUUAUACCCCCCUUCUUAGCUGUCUCUACUUGUAUACUGCAUAUUCAUUGCAGGAUCAUUUGUUUCAGCUCGUUUUUCUUAUUCUUUGUUUCAAAUGAUUCCGACUGAAUGUAUUUCUUAAUGUGACGGAACUGAAAACAUUAGUUGUCAACAAGCUAAUGGAGUUUGUACAAGGUAGCUGCUGAGGAAUGCACGCACCCCGUUAUUCAUAUGGAUCAUGUAUGCAUGUAUGAAAAGCACACUGGAGAUGAUCUCAAUCUACAAUAUACUUGUUUAAAGAGAUUGUCCUGCUUUGCUUAGAUGUAUCAGUUUAUUUGAUACUGCUCUGACUGCUUUGCGUAGAUGUGCCUGCUCUGAAAGAGAUUGUCGUGCUAGCUCACUAACAUCUAAGUAUCAACCUAUUCUAGCAGAGAAAAGAACCAGUUGAAAGAGCUCUUCAUAAAUAAAGCUUUCAUGUCAAUUGUGUCAAAGCUCUUCAAUGCUGUAUGUUGAACAUGUAUUUUCUGGUUUUCCUAGCUUGUCAUGCUGUGUCGAUGCAUUCCAUUGCCAUCAUAGUGGAGUUGCUUUGCUAUUUUUACAGUCAACUCAAGAAAGCAAGGCAUCAGUUUACUCUGUUUGAUAUGGAAACCUAUUGCUGUUUAAUGGGGACCUGUUUGGAAAAAGAUAGGGGAUCUUGAGGUUAUGUAGUUGAUCUCAUGCAAGGUUCUGGUGCUUUGUGAUUGCUAGGUAACAAAAUGAUGAUUGAGGAGACAAAGCGUAGCAUCCAUGAUGCAUUGUGUGUGGCAAGGAAU
rnacentral:lncRNA from 1 species